AUGCACGCUGGCGGCGUGCCUAAUACAUGCAAGUCGCGCGAACGGACGAGAAGCUUGCUUCUCUGAUGUUAGCGGCGGACGGGUGAGUAACACGUGGAUAACCUACCUAUAAGACUGGGAUAACUUCGGGAAACCGGAGCUAAUACCGGAUAAUAUUUUGAACCGCAUGAUUCAAAAGUGAAAGACGGUCUUGCUGUCACUUAUAGAUGGAUCCGCGCUGCAUUAGCUAGUUGGUAAGGUAACGGCUUACCAAGGCAACGAUGCAUAGCCGACCUGAGAGGGUGAUCGGCCACACUGGAACUGAGACACGGUCCAGACUCCUACGGGAGGCAGCAGUAGGGAAUCUUCCGCAAUGGGCGAAAGCCUGACGGAGCAACGCCGCGUGAGUGAUGAAGGUCUUCGGAUCGUAAAACUCUGUUAUUAGGGAAGAACAUAUGUGUAAGUAACUGUGCACAUCUUGACGGUACCUAAUCAGAAAGCCACGGCUAACUACGUG
rnacentral:rRNA from 1 species